GAGGAUAUAGCUCAGUGGUAGAGUGCAUGCUCUGCGUGUACGAGGUCCUGGGUUCAAUCCCUGGUACCUCCA
rfam:Camelus ferus unplaced genomic scaffold scaffold1060, whole genome shotgun sequence.